rnacentral:rRNA from 1 species
UACGGAGGGGGCUAGCGUUGUUCGGAAUUACUGGGCGUAAAGCGCACGUAGGCGGCUCUGUAAGUUAGAGGUGAAAGCCCGGGGCUCAACUCCGGAAUUGCCUUUAAGACUGCAUCGCUAGAAUUGUGGAGAGGUAAGUGGAAUUCUGAGUGUAGAGGUGAAAUUCGUAGAUAUUCGGAAGAACACCAGUGGCGAAGGCGACUUACUGGACACAUAUUGACGCUGAGGUGCGAAAGCGUGGGGAGCAAACAGG